rnacentral:rRNA from 1 species
UACCAGCACCCCGAGUGGUCGGGACGAUUAUUGGGCCUAAAAGCAUCCGUAGCCGGUUCUACAAGUCUUCCGUUAAAUCCACCUGCUUAACAGAUGGGCUGCGGAGGAUACUAUGGAGCUAGGAGGCGGGAGAGGCAAGCGGUACUUAGUGGGUAGGGGUAAAAUCCGUUGAUCCAUUGAAGACCACCAGUGGCGAAGGCGGCUUGCCAGAACGCACUCGACGGUGAGGGA